rnacentral:lncRNA from 13 species
CACUGCAGUACCUAACAGUGCAAUAUUUUUUUCUGUUUCAGUAUUGCUGUUUGGUACAUAGUGCCAUAACAUACACAAAAGUUUUUGUCACUUCCCAAUUUUAAGAACAAAACAGGAAUUCUGUUCAACAAAAUACAUUUUUUCCCUUUUAUGAAAAGAGAAGAUAACUUACGAUGUAGAAAACAAAAUCAAAAACUUCUCCCAGGCUGUCAUUAGUUAAGACCAAGGAAGAGCUGUGGUCGAGAUGAUGGUGGUCCUCAAAUAGUUCAUCUGCUCCUCCACUUAUGUCAUCAUUAUACAGAAGUGCCUUUUGCUUCCUACCAUGAUUCUGAAGCCUCCCAUCAUGUGGAAUUGAAGUGUAUGCCAAUCUCUUCAAGGAGCUUUAAGUUAUCCUCGUUAUGACAUGGUUUAAGGUGAGAAAGAAACUUACUACCCAUCAAAUCCUUAAGGAUCAGGAAGAACAGUGACUACUCUCUUCAAAGAAAUUCUCACUUCUAGCUAUUUCAACC